AAAACAUUCACAUAUUUAUUCUCGUAUACAUAUGCUGAUAUUUCCAGUAAGUUUUUAAUAUUCUUGCAGUUAUUACCAGUCAGACAAUACUCAUUUUUUGUCGACAAUAAUUAUUGACUUUGGAUCAGAUCAAUUUCGAUUGAAAAAAUGUCAAAGAUUAUAUUUGGAUUUAUUGCCCUUCUCGUUAUUAUUGCAAUGAUGCAAGUCACUGCCGAAGCCGGCUCGGGCAGAAGUCUACCGCCGGAGUGUUUUUGCAGUCCCAAUGGAGUAUUGUGCUCAAGUUCUGGAGAGUGCUGUUCAGGAAACUGCAUCACGUAUGAGAUUGCACGUGAAAUAAAUGACGACCCGUCGGAACAGGACCCUGGAAUAUCCUAUGUUACUCGAUGUGGGAUAAGAAGGAGUAAACAUACCACGUCUAGUCCCACCUAGUAUUAUGGUCGAAUAAUAGGGCGCCACUGGAAGAUGGACUCGGCCUUUUAGAACCGGAUGUUAAGUUAAUUUUUAUUUAGAAAUCAGGGUUGUUGUAAAUUUUAUUUUUGUGAGAGAGGAGAGGAAUAAUGAACAGGCCGGAAUAAAUCUAUUUAAAAAACGU